rnacentral:tRNA from 3 species
GGGCCCGUAGCUCAGCGGUUAGAGCUCCGGACUUUUAAUCCGGGAGUCGUGGGUUCGAAUCCCACCGGGCCCUCCA